UUGGGGGGCUCAUGAGACACUUGGGGGGAUCCAAGGGGCUGGUGGUGUGGGGGGCUUGUCGGACAAAUUUGUGGGGAGUUGGGUAAUAUGGGGGCUGGUUGGAGACACUUGGGGGAUUCAGGGGGCUGGUGGUUUGGGGGGACACAGAUCUAAUAACAGAAACUAUUUCCCCUUUCCCACGAGGGGCUGAGUUUUCCCGCAGGCCAGAGACAGAGUCACCCUAAGAGGAACUCCAGGGACGGACCCAGGAUAUUUACAGCCAGUUGGACUCUCCCCAAGCUGGUUUCCACUGAGCUCUGCUGAAAUCCCAACCAGCUGGGACCCCCGCUGCAUGGCCGGGACCUUAAACACAAAGAGAAGCCAUCGCUCAACAGGGCCAGAUCCCAGCAGGGGUCCACAAGCAUCGAUUUUUCCAUUGUGCUGGGGGUGCUUGACCCCUGGCACUUCCCCAGGCCCCACCCGCACUCCACCCCUUCCCUCAAGGCCACACCCCUGUCCUGUCUCUCCCCCACCCCUGUCCCAUCUGUUCCCACCCCUGAGCACACUGCGUCCUCGCUCCUCUCCCCUUCCCCCACAAAACAGCUGAUUGCGGCGGGCGGGAGGCGCGAGGAGGGGGAAGCAUUGAUGGGGAGCUGCCGGUGAGUGCUCAGCACCCACCAUUUUUUUCCAGUGGGUGCUCCAGCCCCAGACCACCCGUGGAGUUGGUGCCUAUGUGGGGUAAAGCGGCAGUGUCUCCAUUGGAAUGAAUGGGGUCAGACCCCCAGCUGGGGUGACUCAGUUGGGAAUAAAUAGCUCCGAAAUGCA